AAAUAUGUUCUGGUAUAUUUCAAUUCAUAGAAUUUUACUUGAUUUCUAUUUCAUGGUAAAUAUGUCUGCUGAAGAGAAUUAACUGUGUAUCUAACUUAUCAAGUAUAUUUGUGCAUUAAAUUCUAGGGCUUUGUUACAUGUGUUAUCAUAACACAAACAGUUAAGAGACAGCUUGUAGACAGCUUCAUUAGAAAUUUCUUUCCCAGAAUCAAAGAUUUUACAUCCUAGGCCUGGAUGUUAACCUUGACAUGGACAAUCUUACAGAUAAUAAUAGAAGAGUCACCUGAAAUUGCACAGGCAAAUUCAUCAGAUUCAGAUGUGAGCACCAACUCUGUCUUUCUAUCAUGGAAUUCUGGAUUUCAAAUUGGAUUUCCAUUGGAUUGACAAAUAUUGACAAUUGACAGUUCAGUCACACUAAACUAUAGUGGCAUGUUGCUUCAAGUUACCACACUUUUUCUAAGAUUGCUGAAUUAUCAUUACUGUCUAAGGAGACCCUAGAUCUCUCAACCAGAAGAAGAAACUUGGGGAUCAAUCAGUUAUAAGAUUAAAAUCUCUGGAACACUACCCAUCACUGUUGUGUUCAGUAUAUGGAAAAGAUGACCGUGAUAUUGGAACCUUGGAGAUUCAUAACUUGAUUUCACUCCUGUGAAAAGUAACUGCUUUGUUCUUUUACUGUCCAAUUGAUAAUAUGAAAAUAAAGUACUCCUCCUGUCAUUGUA